rnacentral:misc_RNA from 1 species
GAAAUGCGAUAAGUAAUGUGAAUUGCAGAAUUCAGUGAAUCAUCGAAUCUUUGAACGCACAUUGCGCCCUGUGGUAUUCCGCAGGGCAUGCCUGUUCGAGCGUCAGUACAACACUCAAGCCUAGCUUGGUCUUGGGCCUCGCCGGAAACGGCGGGCCUUAAAAGUAGUGGCGGCGCCCGCUGGGCUCUAAGCGUAGUAAUACUCCUCGCUAUAGGGACCCGGUGGAUGCUGGCCAGCAACCCCCAACUUUCUAAGUUUGACCUCGGAUCAGGUAGGGAUACCCGCUGAACUUAA